CAACCUGCCCACCACUUGGGGAUAACCUUGCGAAAGUAAGACUAAUACCCAAUGAUAUCUCUAGAAGACAUCUGAAAGAGAUUAAAGAUUUAUCGGUGAUGGAUGGGGAUGCGUCUGAUUAGCUUGUUGGCGGGGUAACGGCCCACCAAGGCAACGAUCAGUAGGGGUUCUGAGAGGAAGGUCCCCCACAUUGGAACUGAGACACGGUCCAAACUCCUACGGGAGGCAGCAGUGAGGAAUAUUGGUCAAUGGACGAGAGUCUGAACCAGCCAAGUAGCGUGCAGGAUGACGGCCCUAUGGGUUGUAAACUGCUUUUAUAAGGGAAUAAAGUGAGUCUCGUGAGACUUUUUGCAUGUACCUUAUGAAUAAGGACCGGCUAAUUCCGUGCCAGCAGCCGCGGUAAUACGGAAGGUCCGGGCGUUAUCCGGAUUUAUUGGGUUUAAAGGGAGCGUAGGCCGGAGAUUAAGCGUGUUGUGAAAUGUAGAUGCUCAACAUCUGAACUGCAGCGCGAACUGGUUUCCUUGAGUACGCACAAAGUGGGCGGAAUUCGUGGUGUAGCGGUGAAAUGCUUAGAUAUCACGAAGAACUCCGAUUG
rnacentral:rRNA from 1 species